GACGAGCGCUGGCGGCGGGCUUAACACAUGCAAGUCGAACGGUGAGGCGCCUUCCUUUUUGGUGUGUGUGGAUGAGCGGCGAACGGGUGAGUAACACGUGAGUAACCUGCCCCCGUCUUCUUGAGAACCGCAUGACAGUGUCGCUAAUACGGGAUAGUCUGGGUCUGUGGCAUGAUGGGUCUGGGAAAGAUAUGGUUUCGGUGGGGGGUGGGCGCGCGGCCGAGCAGCUUGGUGGUGGGGAGGUGGCCUACCAAGGCGGUGAUGGGUGGCCGGCAUGAGAGGAUCGACGGUCACACAGGGAAUGAGCGACGGACCAGACUACUGCGGGAGGCAGCAGUGGAGAUUAGUGCACAAUGGGAGGAAGGAUGCAGCAGCGCCGCCGCGUGAGGGAUGGACGCCGUAGGGUUGUGCACCUCUUUCGGCAGUGAAGCAGGCCUGCCUAGUUUGUUGGUGGGUUGACGUUAGCUGGAUAAGAAGCGCCGGCUAACUACGUG
rnacentral:rRNA from 1 species